CUCGUAGGCGGUUCAACAAGUCGGUCGUGAAAGCCCGGGGCUCAACCCCGGGACGCCGGUCGAAACUGUUGUGACUAGGGUCCGGUAGAGGUGAGUGGAAUUCUCGGUGUAGCGGUGGAAUGCGCAGAUAUCGAGAGGAACACCAGUAGCGAAGGCGGCUCACUGGGCCAGUACCGACGCUGAGGAGCGAAAGCAUGGGGAGCAAACA
rnacentral:rRNA from 1 species